AUUCAUCUAAACAAUACAAAGUUCACCUCUAACGUCCUUUCAGUUAGCGAUGAGGCCAUGUUCUUGGUUGCCAUGCAACUUCUUUGGCGAUCGAUAGCCGAAAAAUGCGCAUGAUCGAAACUAGACCUCCCACGCUCCCGAUUUCCAAGUAGACCAUCGCAAGGAUAUCCACGUUACUUGUUCAGUAGAUGUAGUACGAAAACGUAUGAUAACUGUCGUUCAGAAUGACACUUAACCUGUAUGCAUCCUUAACAUUGUUUACUUCAUUGAUAAAUUGAAGAUGCUGAAUGGUGCUUUCACGUAACAUGAUCUACUAAAG